rnacentral:rRNA from 1 species
CUCUACGAUACGGGAGGAACACGGCAACCCAAUAGAAGUAGAAGGCCCAUGGCUAACCCUAGCAUCAGCCCAGACAGGAGCUUGCACGAGCGUACCGCCGCCACUGGAUAAUCCUCCCCGCCGGCCGCCGCCACAGACUGGAGUCGCUCGCCGCCUGUAGUGGGUCGCCGGCGCCGCCUGGAAUUGCCUCGCUGCUACCUCGGCCCUCGGUUGACUCGAAUCUUCUUCAGCACCAUCGUCAGUCGUGAUCCAUUCAUGUUUUUUUUCUUCUUCAAUGACUCUGGUCCCUGUUCUUGUUACGAACGGAGUGGACGAUGCUUGGCUGGCUGGUUAGUUCUUGCAGAUUACUGCUAUACUACUACUUCCUAGUUCCUAGUACUUGCUGAUGUUACUGCUUAGCAUAGGUGCAUACUACUGCUUGCUUUAGUACUGCUUGUUUGAUACUGCUUGCUAGUUUGGAACAAGGAAUUGUAUAUUCAUUUGGCCAGCUCAAGCCAAUUUGUUUAACAUUUUUCACUUUUCAUGUCUAUUUAUCUUAAAUUGACAAAGUGUAAUAUCAUAUAAUGUAUUUUCUGUUUUGCAUACACCAUGAUAAGGAACCUAGAUGAUCAUUUAGGACUUGAAAAGAGGCAUGGAGGAAAUCAGGCAACCAAUGGGGCAGUAUUCUGAUCUCAUCUCACACAUCCUAUAUCAUGCUUUGUCUUUAUUACUUGUUAUUUUAUAUAUUAUUAUUUACAUAUACUUGCCGUAUCGCUGUAUUGCUGUUUCAAAAAAUUACCAUAUCCCGUAUCACCAUACUCGUAUCGUCGUAUUCGUGUCGCCGUAUCCGUGUCGCCGUAUCGGUGCUUCAUAGGUCGUCAAUCCUCCCGCAAAAGUGCAAAUCAACCUGUGGUUGAGUUGGUUAGGUGGACAGUGGUAUCUUCAACCCACCAGGGUUCAAAUCCUGGUGCUCGCAUUAUUCCUGGAUUUAUUUCAGGAUUUCCGGCGAUGCGCUUUCAGUGGGAGGAGACGUUCCCGUCGACGACUAGGCGCCUACGGUGACUUCGUAAAUUUCAAAAUGAUAUGCCGGCUCAGUCUCUCGGAGGUGCUCAUAGGGGUAGGGUGUGCGUGUGUGCGUUCAUAGAGGUGAGUGUAUGCGCGUGUAUAUGAGCACUUGUGUUUGUACUGAUGCUAAAAAAAAAAUCCUCCCGCGAAAGUCACGAAGCUCUGCCCUCUCCCUCGAAAGGGAAAGAGUAGCUCGACCGAGCAAACCGAUUCAUGGCGACGGCGGCGUGUCCUCUCCCUCACCGGUGUCUGCUCCUCCUCCAUCUGGCCCUCCUCGCUUUCCUGCUGGCGGCGGCCCCGGCGGCCGAGGCGUGGACGGGGGAGAUCCGCGGCCGCGUCGUCUGCGACGUCUGCGCCGACUCUGCCAUCGGGCCCGAGGACCACGUCCUCGAAGGUCAGCCCAACGAGCCUCUCCCCUCCUUCGGAUUUAUCUAGUUGCUAUCGACGCCCUCUGUGCUCUCGUGGUCACCGAGCUAGAUUUCGUGCGACCGCGCUUCCGUGGAUCUCGGUUCAGCUGUUUUGGAUCACGAAAUUUCGUUGGUCUGGGGGUUGGCACGUUAAGCAGAGUAGCAAAUUUCGCUCUAGUGGUAAUUCUUCUGUGGACUGCGUAGAGUGCUUUUGGUAUCAUUCAGUGCAAAUUUCCGUGGGAAAUUCUGGUGGAAUUUUUAGUCUCUGUUAGGCGCGUAGGAAGCGAGAAUCAUACAGGGACGGGGUAGUUGGUUACUGGUCAUCUGAUCUAGAAAUGAAAAUCGGACAUAGGUAACUGGAGCAAAUUUUGUGUGUGUUCAGUAGGUUGUCUAUUUGUAUUCGACAAUCUAGGCUCUUGUGUUAAGCUAGUGAGGAGCAUAGAUAGACACACAUCAUACUCUUAGUUCGGAUUUGGUGGGGUGAGGAAAACCUAUGAGCCGUUAUCUGUAUCUCACUCUAAGGCUGUUCUAUUUCUAGCAAAAGGACCGAAGAAGAAAAAAAAGGAAAAAGGGUCUAUACAUGUUUUGGAAAUGUAUGUAAGUGGAUAAAGUGCUUCCCAUUGCUGUCGGAACAAAUUAAAUUACAGGGAACCUGUUUAACUCGAAACAUGUACUGUAAUUGAGGUGAACUUAACUCGUAAGAUACGGUUUAUGAAAGUGCCCACAGAAUUCCCUUAAUGGGGAAGUGUUACUGGUCUUCCUCUGUACACUAGGUAGCAGGUAACCCUCAGGUUCCAGUGUCCAUUGUUUUGACAUUUCUACCUUCUAUAAUAAGAACAAAUUACAGUUCCAGGCUUCUGACUAAGCAAGCUAUUAAGGAUAGCUAAAUAUGACUAUAUAUGAAUGUACUGCGUCCAAUACAAUAUCACCCUUGCUAAGUAGUCUUGCUGGAGCUUGUCCUUGUAUAUAUUUAGAUGAUGUGUAAAUUGUAGCCUAAUUUUCCUGACGUGUCUACUGCCAUGCACAAAGGAAACUAAAGAUCAAAAUUCAAAACUAUUUUAUAUAAGUUGUUUUGGUGUCCAUAUAGGUGUGUGUAUCGGCUUGCAGGGAGAUGAUGCAUCUCCCAAUGUAUGAAAGGAUCGUAAUUGGUCGAGUACAUGUAAGAUUAUGUACGUGACUAAAUGUCUAUGGAACAUCCGAAUGCAUCUGGAAAGACAAAUUGGUAUCCACUCUUUCAAUUUUUUCCUUCAGUGUUCAGUUUGCUAAAGUUGCAACUAUGAACGGUAUGCCAGAAGUUAAUAGUGCUUCUGUUGGAUGAUCCUAGUUUUUAAUCCACAUGCACAAAGUCUUAUGAAGUCUCAGUGGGCCUGUCCAUGUCAGUCUAAUUAUGAAAAGUCACAAUACAACUCAAAUACAGAAUUAGAUACGUGCAUGUGCGCAAAUCUCUAAGCAUUUGGAUUGCUAAGAUAAAGGGAUCAUGAGUGCCCAAGCUCGUUUUGCAUUGACUGAUUAACUGUACUCUUGAUCAAUGGACAGACUUUUUGAAUCAGAGACUACCGAAACCGUGGACAAUUCUAGUGAAAUGCAGGGGAGUACUUGUGAUGCAUGGCGAAUAGGGAUACCUUCAAUAGAUUUUAGAUGCUUUUAUGGCCUUUUUUUUUGUACAACAUGUACUUGUUAUGGCCUUUGAAUUUGGUUAGUGGAGGUACAUGGUAGUCCUGGGAACUGGGAUUGGAUCACAUGGGAUAACAGAGAGGUGAAGCAUCACUCUCCAGGUUUCUGUGGGCUUGUCCCAGCCAAAGCUUAGAGUCUCUGAAAAUUGCUUAGGGUUUGACGUUUUAAGUAUCACAUACCAAAUAGAUUGCAUGGACUGGAUUUGCAUAAUAGCAUGUACCAAGUAAUCAGGCUAAGACAUGAACUGUCUCACCUUUUUUUUUUGAACCGGGCUAACCCCCUUUCCAUUUAAUCAAAUGGAAAUACAUCAGUGUCAGAGUUUAAACAGGGGACAGGAAAGAGGAAGCAAGUUCAACGAACUGCUAGGAAAGCCAACUGCAUACGCUCGAUAUAGGAACAUACACUAUGGGGGUGAAAACCUAGACAGCACCAAAAUAAAUUAGUCCUAUCACAAGCCAGAGAACAUAAUAAGUAAGGUCUUAAACUUUAGCAAACCCACAAGCGGGUUCCAGGAACCAAAUGCAACAACAUAACUACCCAAAAGAAUCUCCAAGGACAAGGAGUCACACAGGCUUCACUCCUUCGAUAGGCCUCUGAGUUGCCUCGCAAAUCCUCAUCAAGUUCAUCGUGUUAGAGCGAAGAAGCUCUGCUCCAGUCCUGAGUAUCUUCGCAUUGCCCUCCUUCUGAAGACCUGCCCACUAGAUAAGAAAAGAGCAAGUAGUGAAGACAAUCUCAAAAGCGGCCUUGAUCAUUUUAUGCUCGAAGGUUGCUCAGUUUCAAGCAUUUCAUAUAUCCAAGUAAUGGCCACCAGGCCAACAGUAUAGAGUUUUUCCCCAUCAGGCAGAAAAAAUUAGCACCAGGAGAGAUACUGCGAACCGUUAUUAGCACAUAAAGUCAGUAUCCAGAACAAACCCAACAGUUCUCCAGACAACACGAGCAACCGAACAAGUAUAGAAAAGAUGCUAAGAAGACUCAACGUCUUUGCAAAAAGAGCAACAAGGGUUACCAGGCCAUUUCCUUUGCUUCAUGACCUGCCUUGUCAAAACAGCAUUCUGGAACAUUUUUGCCACAGAAAAUUUGGAUUUUCAAAGGCAACUUUGCAUCCCAAAUCCAUUUAUAGCUACAUCCACUAAGAGGUCUCUCCAACCAUUUAUACAUGGACUUAGUCGAAUACUUAGCAUUCUUAAUGGACUGACUCACCUAGCACAACUAGGUUACAAGUUGCUUACUAUAAGACGAAAUGGUUGGUGUUUCUCUGCCAUAUACUACUUGAAAAGGAGUGCUCCGCAAGGAUGUCUGGAAGUAAGAAUGACUUGAAAUCUUUUCUUCCAGCAACAUAUUUACCAUCAAUUUGAUGGCAUGAAAGCCUGUCGUAAUGCAGACAAAUGUUGUAAGCAUAUGCUAAAGACAGCCAUGAACCUUUUGCUCAUCAAACAUAAAUCCGUAAAUCAGUAAGAAAUCUGGGAACAUGUGUUGCUUGUUCUGGUCCUGUCAAUGGAUGAACCAGACAAAGCAUUAACACCAAUGAGAAGGAAGUUUAGGAGCCAAAAGAAAAAGCAUGCACCUAUUGAGAUUCCUAGAUUUUGCUACUGCACUCCCCGGUGGCCAUCCCUCUCUACCCAGGGGCAAUGGUGAACCUGUGUGGUGAUGGUAGAAACCUCAGUGUCCCCACCACAAAUUCGCGGAGUCCAUUUACUGGAGUUAGUCGCUGUCAUCAAUUCACAGGUUACCCCUCUGGUCUCUCCAUCCUGCUCCUCUUACUGCUUCUUCCUCCCCUUCCGCUUCUUCUUUUAAAAAAGUUCUCCCAACCAUCAUACUGAACUGGCACUCAUCAUUCUGCCGGCGUAGAUUGUUCCACGGCAUGGGUACAGGCAUAAUUUCGGCAAUUCAACCACUACAUCAAAAAAUCAAAUUGGAUGAGAGUGAGUGGCGGUUGAAUCAGCCAUUUUGGAAAUUCAGGUAAGCCAAUUUGGUAAUUCAACCACCCACGAAAAAACAAAUCGAGAUGAAAAUGCGAAUGGAGGUGAGCCCAGGUGUCUAGGAUGGGUUUUGGCAAGAAAAUUAGGAAAAUUUCAGAAUGUUUACAUGCGAUCAAAGUGUAUUGGAAAAUGUUAGUGUGAAUCAAAGUGGCGAUCUUUAGGUGGUACCAAACUAAAAAGGAAUUAUACCUUGAACCUUGUCUGUGCCUGACACUGCUCAAGCACACAUGUACUGCCGGUCUUUUACUAAUUCCAUUUUGUUUUCUUUGCUUCGGAUUGUUCAUUGUGCCGCAUACAAUUAAAGUUUCUGCGGGAUAAUCUCUCUUGUUCUCCUCUUGCUCAUGUAUGUCUUUGUGACUGUCUCUAUAGGCGCUGAGGUUGCUGUUCUGUGCAUCACGAAAUCUGGUGAGGUCAUCAACUACCAGGCGUUCACAAACUACAAGGGCGUCUACAGCGUUGCAGAGACGAUGCCUGAGAGCGACCGAUGGGAUUCGUGCCUGGCAAGGCCCAUCAGCAGCUUCCACCAGCAUUGCACCAGGAGGGGCGACGCACACUCUGGGGUCAAGUUCACAUACAACAAACAGUCAGGGAGCUCGCACAACGUCAAGACGUUCCUCUACAAGCCUGCCAACGUUCCUCUGUACUGUAGCUGAAAUCUAUAGGAUGGGUUCAUGCCCGGGCUUGAUGUUGUAAGAUCUGAAUAGGGAAAGUGUUGGUCGACCCGUAUGCUUGUAACGAUCUGCCCAUCUAGAGUUAUUGCCCAUGUUAGUCAUUUGAAGGGGGUCGGAUGUUGAAUGUGUAAUUAUUGUAAAUCACUAUAAUAUGUUUCUCAGCCAUAUACAUAUAAUCAAUAAAUAUGUACAAGUAGUUUUAUUUUCA